UUAAAAACUGAUGACUGAUGAUUGAUGAUUGAUGACUGAUGAUUGAUCGAUGACUGGACAUCGCCUAUAACGCAUGAAGGUAGUUUGGAAGACACUAUACUGUGAAAAUAUUGAAUAUAUCCGUCGUGCGCAGACACUCGGCGACGGUGUACAAACGAGUGCGGAGCUGAUCUGCGCGGUUUGCGACAAGACUGACAAGCUGUCGAGGUGCUCGCGUUGCUAAGUCGUCUUCUACUGCACCAAGGAGAACCAAGGAAACGCCACCGGGUUUUGCGCGACUCACCCCGUGGCCGUUGCGUCUACGGAGGAACCGUUCUCUGCCAUCUCUGCUACCUUUGCUACCUCUGCCGCUGUCCUCGCGAACGAGCGUUCCGACCCCAAGAUCGGUUAAAUAAAACGAUUGAAAAUGGAUCCAUAUGAAGAUGUUAUGGAGCAAAAUCAAUGUGGUAUGUAUAUGAUUCUUAUAUGUGUGAGUUGUG